rnacentral:rRNA from 1 species
GACGAACGCUGGCGGCGUGCUUAACACAUGCAAGUCGAACGGAAAGGCCCUGCUUUUGUGGGGUGCUCGAGUGGCGAACGGGUGAGUAACAAGUGAGUAACCUGCCCUUGACUUUGGGAUAACUUCAGGAAACUGGGGCUAAUACCGGAUAGGAGCUCCUGCUGCAUGGUGGGGGUUGGAAAGUUUCGGCGGUUGGGGAUGGUCGCGCGGCUUAUCAGCUUGUUGGUGGGGUAGUGGCUUACCAAGGCUUUGACGGGUAGCCGGCCUGAGAGGGUGACCGGCCACAUUCGGACUGAGGUACGGGCCAGACUCCUACGGGAGGCAGCGGUGGGAGAUAUUGCACGAUGGGCGGAAGCCUGAUGCAGCAACGCCGCGUGGGGGAUGACGGCCUUCGGGUUGUAAACCGCUUUCGCCGGUGACGGAGAGUGAGUGACGGUAAUGGAUAAAGAAGCACCGGCUAACUACGUG